rnacentral:rRNA from 1 species
CGUUGGAUUGCGGAGGAUACUGUCCGGCUUGGGGGCGAGAGAGGCCGACGGUAUUUCCGGGGUANGGGUGAAAUCCUAUAACCCCGGAAGGACCACCAGUGGCGAAGGCUGUCGGCUAGAACGCGCCCGACGGUGAGGGAUGAAAGCUGGGGGAGCGAACCGGAUUAGAUACCCGGGUAGUCCCAGCCGUAAACGAUGCAGGCUAGGUGUUAGGGCGGCCACGUGCCGCUCUAGUGCCGCAGGGAAGCUGUUAAGCCUGCCGCCUGGGGAGUACGGCCGCAAGGCUGAAACUUAAAGGAAUUGGCGGGGGAGCACCACAAGGGGUGAAGCUUGCGGUUUAAUUGGAGUCAACGCCGGAAAUCUCACCGGGGGCGACAGCAGGAUGAAAGCCAGAUUAAAGGUCUUGCCAGACGAGCUGAGAGGAGGUGCAUGGCCGUCGCCAGUUCGUGCCGUGAGGUGUCCUGUUAAGUCAGGCAACGAUCGAGACCCGCAUCCCCCGUUGCUAUUGGCGAACAGCCAAGCACACUGGGGAGACUGCCGCCGACAAGGCGGAGGAAGGAGCGGGCCACGGCAGGUCAGUAUGCCCCGAAUCUCCCGGGCCACACGCGAGCUGCAAUGGCAGGUACAAUGGGUUCCGACCUCGAAAGGGGAAGGCAAUCCCGAAAGCCUGCCGUAGUUGGGAUCGAGGGUUGAACUCAUCCUCGUGAACAUGGA